CAGGCCAGCCUGGCGUGUCCAGCAGAGCCGGGACCCCGCUGCCCCCCAAAUCUCCGCGGGAAAAGCACGGGCAGGCUGCCCCGGGCUCCCCGGAGCUCCCGGUGCUCGGAGCGGCAGCACCGCCGGGGAUGCUCCGUGCGCGCACCCGCAGCUCCCGCGGCCACGCAGCCCCGAGCAGCGCCCAGGUAGCCCACGCUGCGUGGAGCUCGCCCGUGGGCCGUCACCUCGACGGCCCCGCCGCCCGAAAAGGCUCCGGUUCCCCGCUCCUGGCGGGGAUCCCCCGGUUCCAGCCCCGGGAGGCCGGGCCGGCCGCGGGGCUCCCACCUGCCCGGCCCCCGUCCGUUCUAACGGGGCACCGGGAUGGGCUGCGGGGCAGACGCAUGGGUUUGUUUUUUUUUUUCCUCGUGGAAAAGAGAAUAAAAUGUACAAAAAUGCCCCGAAUAGAAAAAGGUCCGUCGCUCCCCGCAGCAUCUCCCUGGGACGCGCCGUCCAGGAGCGAUCGCGGCGCGGUGGAAGCGGUAAGUGGCAUCAUAAAUAUCCCUCUGAUUUUGUUCAGCGCCGCGUAAAUCUGACCGAACCAUCCGGCAGCUGACUUCAGUGCUUUAAUUACAGAUAGUAUUGAUCUGGGAGCUAUCUCCAGGGCUGGCCACACUCCUUGUAGCGUCCAAAGAACAGAGACCUGACUGGCCGGACACACAUCUCUGCUGCAUUUUCAUAUUCUCCAAAAGUCCCCCAUUAAAAAGCUGAGCGGGGAACAAGGGGUGAGUUUAAUUUGCUUUUAGUUUGCUAAUUGAAGGGGAGGACGGUUCAUUUCUGCACGCUGAUCUCCCAAAAGGGAGCUCAUUUGUAGGGGACUGGGGGUUUGACAUCCGGACAAAAGACCCCAACCAGCUUCGGAAUCAAGCAGCACAAAGACCACCUUAAAUACAGCUUUCCAGUAGAAAUAAGCCUGUGACCGGUCCCUUGUUCGGGGAACCUCAUAAAAGUGGCGAUCCCUUUUUAUUGUUUUGUUAGGGAGACAUUUUAAAACAAAAGCUCCAACCCCUUUAUUGCUUCCCCCACGAAAAGGAGUUAAGAAAAAAAAAAAAGUGUUACAACUUAAUCCGCCCAGAGAACGCUGUGUUUACUGGGAACUUUGAACUAGGCUGCGGCUGGGUAUUUUGGCUUUUUUUUUUUUUUUUUUUUUUUUUUUUUUUUUUUUUUUUUAGUACAGUGCCACAUACUGUAGCAGAGACAAUCCCCAUCUGGAACACUCUCUCCACGAGUCUCCUGGAAGGGCACAAAACAAAAGCCCGACACAACAACAACAACAACAACAACUACCACCAAUCCACCAAUCCAGCAAUCCUCCAAACUCCAGCCUUUCUUCCGGCGGGGAGAAAACCGCCUGAAAACCGCGUUCGCAGCGGCCCUGGCUGCCCGGCCGUCGGGGGGAGCCUGUGCCCGGCCCCGCCGCUGCUCUCGGCCCGUUCCGCGCCCCCCAACGAGUGCCGAGCCCCGGGACCUGCCGAGACCCUCGGCCCGGCACGACCGCGGCUGAAACAUCG